UCAGACUGGGAUACACAAAAUGAGGGCACUUCCCGAUCUGUCUGGAAAGUGCUCCCACUUUGUGUGUCCUUGUCUGA
rnacentral:pre_miRNA from 1 species